GACGAACGCUGGCGGCGUGCUUAACACAUGCAAGUCGAACGGAAAGGCCCUGCUUGCCGGGUACUCGAGUGGCGAACGGGUGAGUAACACGUGGGUGAUCUGCCCUGCACUUCGGGAUAAGCCUGGGAAACUGGGUCUAAUACCGGAUAGGAGCCAUUUUUAGUGUGAUGGUUGGAAAGUUUUUUCGGUGUAGGAUGAGCUCGCGGCCUAUCAGCUUGUUGGUGGGGUAAUGGCCUACCAAGGCGGCGACGGGUAGCCGGCCUGGGAGGGUGGACGGCCACAUUGGGACUGAGAUACGGCCCAGACUCCUACGGGGGGCAGCAGUGGGGAAUAUUGCACAAGGGGCGCAAGCCUGAUGCAGCGACGCCGCGUGGGGGAUGACGGCCUUCGGGUUGUAAACUCCUUUCGCUAGGGACGAAGCUUUUUGUGACGGUACCUAGAGAAGAAGCACCGGCUAACUACGUG
rnacentral:rRNA from 1 species